rnacentral:rRNA from 1 species
UACGAAGGGGGCUAGCGUUGUUCGGAAUCACUGGGCGUAAAGGGCGCGUAGGCGGCUUAUCAAGUCGGGGGUGAAAGCCUGUGGCUCAACCACAGAAUGGCCUUCGAUACUGGUUGGCUCGAGACCGGAAGAGGUUAGUGGAACUGCGAGUGUAGAGGUGAAAUUCGUAGAUAUUCGCAAGAACACCAGUGGCGAAGGCGGCUGACUGGUCCGGUUCUGACGCUGAGGCACGAAAGCCAGGGGAGCAAACAGG